rnacentral:misc_RNA from 1 species
GAUGGCUAGCUAAUAAUGAACGAAAACGCUUUGGCGCAAAUUGCAAUCGAAACAUAUUAUUAUAUAUAGGUAUAAUACCGGUGUACAUAUAUGUUUUAGUGUAUGGUUUUCGUUCAAGAAAACGUCAGCUGUCACCUGUUAAAUGUUAAAUGACUUGAAGUUUUGAAAGUGUUAUUCGUUACGUUGUUUAGUGCUGUAAAUUUUUAAAUAAUGGAGCGUUUGCGAUCAAGCGUCGAACAAAAUAUUCUCCUUACAUGGGGACAUCGCCAGACCGCAAGCGUCCAAAGCCCAAUCCAAAGCGACCGUUUGUGGCAGCAGCCAACAAAUAUGCUCAAUUCCACUGGCGGUGGUGUUCAGAGACCCGUCGAAAAAUGGAAGAAAGUAUGGGCAGAUAUGAAAACGAAAACGAAGAGCAAAGCUUUAAAAAUAAAAAAGCAUUUGAGUGAUACAGGGGGUGCUUACUGUAAUGGGUGUGGCCUGUGUCACUGGGCAUGCACAUAUUGCUGAAAGGGGCCUAAGUCAGACUCACUCAAUGCAAGGAACUGUUGACAGUGAAGCAAGAAAUACAACAAGGCUGCAAGUCCUGACUUUAAUGAUGAUGCACAACUAUUUGGAGAAUCAGAGGAACCCGAGCCGCAGCCUGGGUCGUCUUCGGCUUCAAAUUGUUAGAUGUCCAGUGCGACUAGACCCCUACCUCACCCUGACACAUGGCGUGCAGUACCGCGAGCUUUAAAGAACGAGUGUCGGCAGAGGAACAGGAGCCGUAGCCUGCGCCAUCUUGGGCCCUAGAUCGUCCAAGAAGAAAAUUGUUUUCUUAUAUGUAUAGUUGUAUACUGUUAAGUAUUACUAAUAGGAAAAAAGACUGAUGUUACUUAUGUUUAAUUUACAAAGCAAAUUGUUUUCCUAUAUGCUGUUAAGCAUUACUAAUAGGAGAAAAGACUGAUGUUAUUUAUGUUUAAUUAACAAAACAAACUGUUUUCUUAUAUGUUUAUAUGCUGUUAAGUAUUAGCAAAGAGGAUCAAGUAUUACAAUAUAAAGUCAAUUGAAGUAAAAUAUGUAAUCCAGUGCAUAGACUGCCAUCUCUCGACACAAGCUCAAAACUUUUAUACCUCAGCUUUGAAAAAUUUGGCCCAUUUUCUUAGCUCGAUAUGUGUUAAAAUGUCAGAUAUUAAUAUUAGCGCCAUCUAGGCCACCGUACCAUAUUUCUAUAUGGUUCUGAGGUACGUUUUUUCUUAAACUGUAGCUGUCUAUCUAUAUACUAAGUUACAUAUCGUGACUACUUUGAUAAAACUUGUAUCUUCUUAUGUCAAUCAAAAGAAAACUGUAGUAAGUAUGUAUGAAAUGCAUAUAGAUAUACUGCGUUUCAAUUUUGAGGAGCAGUGUGAGAUACGAGAUUUUUUCAAAGUAAUGACGAUAUGUCUUUGGUAUUAAAUACUACUUUGGUAUUAGGAGGAACGACUAGCCCCUUAUUCAUAAAUGUACACUAAACUUAUCAAGCCGAUAAAGUUCGUUUGUCUCUUUUUGAAUGAAUGAAUGAAUGAAUGAUUUAUUUGCAUGUGAAUAUUGGGUUUACAUUAUUAGGUGUUAGGUACAAUAUUUUAUAUUAGAAUCUCCAAGAUUCUACCUAUACAGGUGUACAUGCACUGUAUAUUGGCUUGGCUCGCUACUAAUAGUAAUAGAGUUUCACCAUACUACAGAAAACUUACAUAUAACGAGACUUAUUAUAAAAUGUUACAAUAUGAGGCUAUAAUACAAUUAUACAUCAAAAUUAUUAACAAA